rnacentral:pre_miRNA from 1 species
AGUAUAAUCGCUAGGUCAUAAGUUCAUCUUUAAUUUAUAAAAAAACCACCAAACUCUUUUCCAGAGUAGCUAUACCAUUAUACACUCCCAUCAGCAAU